AUUGAACGCUGGCGGCAGGCCUAACACAUGCAAGUCGAACGAGUGGCGGACGGGUGAGUAAUGUCUGGGAAACUGCCUGAUGGAGGGGGAUAACUACUGGAAACGGUAGCUAAUACCGCAUACCAUCGGAUGUGCCCCGAUGGCAUUAGCUAGUAGGUGGGGGAAAGGCUCACCGAGGCGACGAUCCCUAGCUGGUCUGAGAGGAUGACCUGCCACACUGGAACUGAGACACGGUCCAGCCUCCUGCGGGGGGAGGAAGUGGGGAAUAGUGCGCAAGCGGCGCAAGCGUGAUGCAGCCAGGCGGCGUGUAUGUAUAAGGCCUUCGGGUUGUAAAGUACUUUCAGCGGGGAGGCGUUAGCCGAAGAAGAAGCACCGGCUAACUCCUUGCCAGCAGCCGCGGUAAUAG
rnacentral:rRNA from 1 species